AACAAAGGGCAGUCACAAAAUUCGUUCUCUCUUAUAUUCUCUUCCUCCUAUUCUCUUUCUCCUCUUGGAAUCUCAAUCGAACAGAAUCGAUUGAAUCAAACACUUCACAUCGAAUUUGUUUGAGAUGCUACCUCAGUUCCAACCUGGGGUUUUAAUUUUUGAAAUUGGGGGUUUUAAUUUUUGUGAUUUAGGUUUUUAUGAAACUAAUUAAAUUACCGCCACCAUCCUCUUCCACCUGCUUCGGUUACUGUUGAAUCACCACUACCACCCUACUCAUUCAAAUUGAAUCACCAUCACCGCCGUUCUCCUCUCCUAAGUGAGUUGUACACCACCACCAUCAACACCGCCAUGAUGUGUUUUUGAUGUUUGAUAUUAUGAUUACAGUUGGGAUUUAUAGCUAUUGAAGCGAGUAGGUGGUGAUGGAAUUUGCAUAGGAUUGAGAAGUUCGGGUGAGGGUUUAAUGACAUUCUUAUCUGAGUACUUCAUGUUUGCAGGGAAAAAUGAUAGCAAAGAUGUUUUGGACUAAUCGGGCACAAAUAGACUAAAUGCUCAUCUCAAAGAACCCAUGAUGGGCCUCACGUGUGGUUGAAGGAAGUUAAAUAUUACAACAGAAUGAGGUGAUCUUCGCUGAAAAAUGGUGUUUAUGAACGUGCAAACCAACAUGUUGCCAGAUUAUCUUGCAAGUCCCACCCUGCCCAAAUGUUCAGUUGAAAGAGAAAUUAGUUUGAAGAAUUUACUGGAUGAACUACAAAAAGGAACCCUCAACUGAAGGAUGCUGAUGGGACAAAAAAGAUCUUGACCCCUGAAGUAAAUUUAAGCGAUGGAGAAUAUUCGUCAAAGCCUUAGAAUCAUCGAGCAAUGUUGAAUUCGGCAGUGGAUUGAUACCAAAACAGAUGGCAAUCAACAACCCUUGCUCGAUUUUGACAGUUGAUUUUCUUUUUAAGCUGACAAGUUCUGAACACAAGUCACCUGUGUCGUCACCCAAUGACAGUUGAUUCAUACCACAGUGGAUGACAAUCAACAAUCCAGUCUCUGUUGAAGCCGAAGAAUAAUUUAUGUAAACUUUAGAUUGAGAGGUUAUUGAAUCAAAAGUUCGAUUCCGAGGUCUUAAUGUUUAUCAGUGCGGAACAAGUAAAUGAGAUUAUAUUUUGGGGAUUUUAAUGAAGUACCACACUUCCAA